CCUACAAGGCUGCAGAAGUGCUGCAUGACUGGGCCCCAGAGGCCAGCCCCAUGCGCGUGGUCCCCAGCCCUAGCACAGCUGUAGAGGCACCACUGAGCUCGGCCGAGCUGGUGGAAGUGGACACCGUCGCCGCCUCCGAUGGGCAACAGGCUGGCAAUGACCAAAAGGCAACAGUGGGCACAGGCCGCACCGAGGUGGAGCCCGGGGCCAGGUCCGUGGCCCACAUUUUCCCACAGAACGCCCGU